rnacentral:misc_RNA from 1 species
GGGUUGGUGUCUUAAAAUGGUCUUCUCAAGAACUUUAAAUAAAGGGCCACACCUUAAGAGAGGGUGAUUGGGUUAUUAAAAAAUCUUUCUUUUGGGGUUGGUGUCUUAAAAUGGUCUUCUCAAGAACUACAUGUAUUGCCAAUAUUUACAACUUUAUACAGUGUUAAUAAAUAAAUGCUUCAGACAAUAAUGCCCAGACCAAUAGUGUGGUCCCAAAAGAAGUGCAGAGUUCAACAUUAGAAUAUAUUAAGAAACGUCUUUUAAAAAUCACCUUCUCAAGAACUACAAUGCUACAAAUUGCUUUUAUUAUGAAAAUAUUCUGACCUAGUGCACAUUCAGUGUAAAACAAAUGAACCCCAGACCAAUAGGGGUACCUAGGAAGGGUGCAAAUUUCAACAGACUUUUGUUAAGAAAAAAAUUUUCAAAUUUUUUUUUUCAAAAAAACUACAAUGCCACAAUUUAUGUUACUGAUAUGCUAGGCAUUAUAAUAAAGUGUAGAUUCCAUGUCAUCCGUGGCAUAUCUUCCUUCCCAUGAGAGUUAUAAAAACAUGAGUUUAGAAAUAGAAACGCAUUCACUGGGUUGCUCAGCUGAGUGAUGUAUCCCAAAGGCCUCCUGUUUUUAUUGAGUAGAACUUUAACUGCCGAUUUAUAACUUUUACUUCUUAACUAUUUAUAGCAGAACAAUUUGAAAAGUUUGUUAAUUUGGACGAUUUCAGGAAUAUUACAGCAAGGCACUGAAGAAAUCUGAUGCUAAAAAGCAGAAAGUUCUUUUAAGGAUCAUAAAGAGAUUAGUAAGUUGAUAAAACAUUGUUGGAGUAUAAAAUUAUAUCAGAAAAUUUUGCCUUUCAGGGAAAAAAACCACAAAUAAUUUUAAGAGGUGUAAAUUGACUCUCCUGUCUUUACAGCUAAGUACAGAGAGAGUACAUGUGGAGUCAAUGAAGCAGCACGGGGAGACUCUUGCCAACACCAUCAGAAAUCUGGUCCAAACCGCCAGGUCAGUCUGUGUAACCAAUCAUUUACACUGUGAGUGGGAAUGGUUAAAAUCAUUGAUAAAAAAUCACUGGAUUGUCUGUUCUCAUAGCAGACCAUAGAUUAAUCCAUGUAGUGAAGAUUGGGAUUAAUUUCUGUUUUGUUUGCUUGUAGUUCCCAUGCCGAUGUAGCCAUUUCCUCCCUUGCAGCAGACAUCUUGAAAAUGACUGGUUAUUUGAAAUAAUUGUUAUCUUAUUCAUGCCCUAAAGAUCUAAAAGUGUUCAGUUGUUGAAUGUUUAUUCAUAUUGUGUAUGUUCUUAUAGUAUUAAGCACAGAUUGACAAUUGUUGCUUGUAUACUUUUAUACAUCUUGUGUACAUAUAAUGCUAUAGACAAAAUACUAGUGUCUAGGGGCUUUACACCACAUUAUACUUAUAAAAAUUGUGUGUAUUUAUUUUCUAAAGAAAGUCCGUCCUUAAUAGAAACUUGACUAUGUAACAAAGAAUAAAAAAGAUUAAAAAAAC